ACCUGCACCAGGAAUACGAACCGCUUCCCUCCCCUUGUUCAGGUGUGCUUUCGCCAUUACUCCAACCACGAGUCGCACCCUUCUAUAGAAGUAAAAAUUACCUGGCUGAGAAAAUUAAAUUUAUGUUCAAGUGCUAUUUCUCUGCAGCACCAAGGAACAGGCAUUUGUUUCUAACAAUCUCGUGGCCCAUAUGGGGAGCUAUUCUCCUCUAGGGGUGGCCUCUAUUCCUCUCUCACGCCCCACUGCCUUGUUGCGGUGGCCUCAAGAGUCAGGAAUCGAGACUCACCUGGUGUGACAAAUAAACCUGGACUCAGCAAUGUCGAAAGAAACCAGCCGGCGACCCAGGGGAAAGGAUCCUCACACACCACAGUGACCAGGCAACUCUGUGCACAGACCGAGGAAGGAAACGCCUGGGAGCCAGCAAAGUAUUUCCUUGGUGGUUGGGACAGACCAAGAAACUAGCAAUUCCUCUGUAGAACAAGUUAAAUCAGCUGGGGGAAAACAAACAGACAAGCAAGCAGCUCCUGAGUCAAUUAAAAAGGUCUUGGCUGGAAAUUUUGGUCUGCUGCCAGAACAUUUUGGCCCAGAGGAUGGUCACACUCCCAGACCACCACAGCAGCUCUGCGGAUCAUGUUCUGCUCUUCCCCUGAAAAGAGGAUACCUAGGAUGGACAUUAAUUCAGCCCAGGUAUAUAACUGCGGGCCUAAAAACUGAUCAAUUUGAUCUGCCACUCCAUAAGGAUCAUCUAAUAAUGGCUUGAGUUCUUUUUUUUUAAGACUUCGGACUUCGGAACCAGUUAAGGGAGCAUUUACAAGGCAAAUUGCCCCCCCUUGUGGUACCUCCCUUAAAAGAAAGAACUUUGAAGAUGAAUCCUUAGAAGUGGGGAGGGGGAAAGGAAGACUCUGAAUAUCCUUUCUACAUUGUUGUAUUUCCCGUUGAAGUCCUUUCUUUAAAGAAGGAUAUUCAGACUGACAAAACUUGGGUCCCUGGGACAAUAACUUCCAGGAGUCCGGGUUGUAUGGGGGAGGAAUAACCUGAGUAUGAGGAUCCAGAGGAGAGUCUGGAACUGGGUCUGGGAUGGGGUUUGGGGCGGCGGCAAUUGCUUGAGGAGGGAGUGGUGGGUUUUUGAGAAGUGGGGGAUGGUGGUCUAGAGGGUCCCACUUACUCGUGGAUGUCUUAGAAGUAGAAACUUUGUUCUCAGAUGAGACAGCCUCUGAGUCCUUUUUACCUUCUAGUUCCUUCCCAUCUAUUCUUAGCGGGUAGAGAAGAACGGCCCCUGCCGCCAGCACAGAGCAUAGUCUAUUUCUUCUUGUGAGAGAGGACUCUUGUCAUUAACAUACAUUAUUAGGAGUUGACAAACCCAGUCCCCAUCCAACCCAAACUUUGGCCAGAAAACUGUGGGCUUGAGGAUUGGCUCUUUAGUCCAAAUAAAGCAGCAAUACUUUAUCAUUUGCUGCUUUCCCUUGAGUUUAGUCCUCUCAUUGUCUUUCCAAUACUUUAACAUAAGCCCUAAAGGACUAUCGGUGGGGGGGAUUUGACCAUCUGCAUUCUUUCCCUUCCCUGUUUUACUAGAAAUAUUCCCUAUACUGAGUACCAGUUAGACUCAACCUCUCGACCCAGAGUUUUCUUGCUUAUCCCGUUUUCCAGAGGCUUGCUUAAAACAACCUCACGUAUGGCCGGGCGCAGUGGCUCACACCUGUAAUCCCAGCACUUUG
rnacentral:lncRNA from 1 species